GAGAGAGAGAGCGAGAAAGAGAUGGAGACAGAGAGAGAGAGAGAUAGUGAGAAAGAGAGUGCGAAAGAGAGAGAGAGAGAGAGAGAGAGAGAGAGAGAGAGGAGGAAGAGAGAGAGAUAGUGAGAAAGAGAGGGAGACAGAGAGAGAGAGAUAGUGAGAAAGAGAGCGAGAAAGAGAUGGAGAGAGAGAGAGAGAGAUAGUGAGAAAGAGAUGGAGACAGAGAGAGAGAGAGAUAGUGAGAAAGAGAUGGAGAGAGAGAGAGAGCGAGAAAGAGAUGGAGAGAGAGAGAGAGAGAGAGAUAGUGAGAAAGAGAUGGAGACAGAGAGAGAGAGAUAGUGAGGAAGAGAGAGAGAGAGAGAGAGAGAGAGAGAGAGAGAGAGAGAGAGAGAGAGAGAGAGAUGAGGAAGAGAGAGAAAGAGAGAAAGAGAGAAAGAGAAAAAGAGAAGAGCAAUGAUCCUGAGAAAGUGAGAAAGAGAUGGAGACAGAGAGAGUAUUUAGAUGAGUAUUUAGAUGCUCUAUAGAGUCAUUCCGACCUGGAACACGAGGGGUAGUUUCUAUGCCUGGGUUUGCCUUGCUGACGUAUGGUAGUACAGAAAGCUCACAGUGGUACUAAGUGAAACGCUUCAUGUGUUUUUCAAGCCUAUAAUUUAAACAGCAUUCAGUUUUCUCCACGGCUUCUUUUCCUUCUCUAUUUCUCCUCACGGUGGGAUGUUAUAAACUAUUAUCAGGACACCAUGGACUUACAGGAACUCUUGUCUUGGACCAUUCCAACGCAACGAUCACACGGGAGACUUCACCUCUGGAUGUUGUUCCGGGUCGUAUAGGCCAAGACCUCCCAGAGCAAAUAGGAGACUUCAAAUCCACUAGGAUAUAGCCAAUCCUUUGUCCUCGUCAAGGUUUAAAAUCUACUAGGAUAUAGCCAAUCCUUUGUCUUAGUCAUGGUUUAAAAUCCACAAGGAUAUAGCCAAUCCUUUGUCUUAGUCAUGGUUUAGAAUCCACUAGGAUAUAGCCAAUCCUUUGUCUUAGUCAUGGUUUAGAAUCCACUAGGAUAUAGCCAAUCCUUUGUCCUCGUCAAGGUUUAAAAUCCACAAGGAUAUAGCCAAUCCUUUGUCCUCGUCAAGGUUUAAAAUCCACAACGAUAUAGCCAAUCCUUUGUCCUCGUCAAGUUUUAAAAUCCACAAGGAUAUAGCCAAUCCUUUGUCUUAGUCAAGGUUUAGAAUCCACUAGGAUAUAGCCAAUCCUAUGUCUUAGUCAAGGUUUAAAAUCCACUAGGAUAUAGCCAAUCCUUUGUCUUAGUCAAGGUUUAGAAUCCACUAGGAUAUAGCCAAUCCUUUGUCUUAGUCAAGGUUUAGAAUCCACUAGGAUAUAGCCAAUCCUUUGUCCUCGUCAAGGUUUAAAAUCCACAAGGAUAUAGCCAAUCCUUUGUCUUAGUCAAGGUUAAGAAUCCACUAGGAUAUAGCCAAUCCUUUGUCUUAGUCAAGGUUUAGAAUCCACUAGGAUAUAGCCAAUCCUUUGUCUUAGUCAAGGUUUAGAAUCCACUAGGAUAUAGCCAAUCCUUUGUCUUAGUCAAGGUUUAGAAUCCACUAGGAUAUAGCCAAUCCUUUGUCUUAGUCAAGGUUAAGAAUCCACUAGGAUAUAGCCAAUCCUUUGUCUUAGUCAAGGUUUAGAAUCCACUAGGAUAUAGCCAAUCCUUUGUCUUAGUCAAGGUUUAGAAUCCACUAGGAUAUAGCCAAUCCUUUGUCUUAGUCAAGGUUUAGAAUCCACUAGGAUAUAGCCAAUCCUUUGUCUUAGUCAAGGUUAAGAAUCCACUAGGAUAUAGCCAAUCCUUUGUCUUAGUCAAGGUUUACACGUUAUGAAAAGCCCCCAUGCCGUCUCUGGCUUGAUUCUGAUUCUAGUUGAACAUUCUAUAUAGCUAGUGGAGUAUCAGCAUGUGUUCUUGUAUUUGGGGUUAACUCCAGACAGGUUCCAGACCAACAUCAUUGGGAGGCAGGGAUGCAUGUAAUGUCUCUGGAAAUGUCCGUUGUGCUUAAUGCCGAAGCCUAAUGGCAGAUGAAAGGACCCUCCAAAUGUUAAGCCUUGCAGUCCAACAGGUUGACCGUCGUCCCACAAGGAAUUCAUAUAAAGAGAUGUAAUUUGUUUGAUUCAGAUGCUGUAGUCUGUAUCUGCCCAUGAUCCUUAAGUCCUCAUUAGGGACCUCGUUUAGUCUCACUUAACUGUAUUCCUCAUCCCAGUCCCAUGUGUGACCUGACAUAGGCCUGACAUAGGCCUGACAUAGGCAUAGACAAUGAACGCCUGCAUUUAUUCUAUGAUGGUAAAA